AAUAACACCAACUGAUGAAGGGAUUAGCCUUCGACAAGCUUUCAAAAGUUAUGUCAUGAUGUUUGCCAAGAGGUAUCAGUUUACUUCGACCAUGGCACCUUUUGCUGAUAGAAAAAUUGGACCCAAAUGGUUUACCCAACAACUGCCUUUGGAAAUGCAGAAGGAUGAAAAUAUAUUUCUGAAUGUUUGGGAAUCAUUCUUAACCCCUAGGCUCCUUUUUUCUUAUCGUAACGCCACUAAAACCC
rnacentral:lncRNA from 1 species